UGCAUGGCUGUCGUCAGCUCGUGUCGUGAGAUGUUCGGUUAAGUCCGGCAACGAGCGCAACCCACAUCCCUAGUUGCCAGCAGUUCGGCUGGGCACUCUAUGGAAACUGCCCGUGAUAAGCGGGAGGAAGGUGUGGAUGACGUCAAGUCCUCAUGGCCCUUACGGGUUGGGCUACACACGUGCUACAAUGGCAGUGACAAUGGGUUAAUCCCAAAAAACUGUCUCAGUUCGGAUUGGGGUCUGCAACUCGACCCCAUGAAGUCGGAAUCGCUAGUAAUCGCGUAACAGCAUGACGCGGUGAAUACGUUCCCGGGCCUUGUACACACCGCCCGUCACACCAUGGGGGUUGGUUCUACCCGACGACGCUGCGCUAACCUUCGGGGGGCAGGCGGCCACGGUAGGAUCAGCGACUGGGGUGAAGUCGUAACAAGGUAGCCCUAGGGGAACCUGGGGC
rnacentral:rRNA from 1 species